UUCUUUGUUGGAAAUUUAAUUUUGCGCCUG
rnacentral:piRNA from 1 species